rnacentral:rRNA from 1 species
UACAGAGGUCUCAAGCGUUGUUCGGAUUCAUUGGGCGUAAAGGGUGCGUAGGCGGCGCGGUAAGUCGGAUGUGAAAUCUCGGAGCUUAACUCCGAAACUGCAUUCGAUACUGCCGUGCUUGAGGACUGGAGAGGAGACUGGAAUUUACGGUGUAGCGGUGAAAUGCGUAGAUAUCGUAAGGAAGACCAGUGGCGAAGGCGGGUCUCUGGGACAGUUCCUGACGCUGAGGCGCGAAAGCUAGGGGAGCAAACGGG